UUAAUUUCAGCUCAGUCCAGGCACUUCACAGAACUGAGAACCGGAAAGUCAACAACGAAACUAAAGGCAAUAGCUACAGGGCACAGGUUAGGGAUUCUGUCAACAUCUAAGGCUUGUGAAUGCCUGCUGCAGCAGUCCUCAUUCUGGGCGUGAAAAAAAAAGAAGCUAGAGAAGACAGGAACAUGAAUCUGCAGAGAAAACCUUAUUAAUUGUACAUUGUGGCGAAUUUGAAUAGUGUGUCUUCAAAGAAUAUAUUUCAUAAUCAGAAGAUCACAAAAUAUCUUUCAAACCAAAACAACAUUUUUACCAGCUUUUCAUGAAACCCUGAGUAUUGGCAAGAUUUAUCUGCUGUGACUCAGCAGGUUUGAGGAACAUUUACUCAGACUGAGAUAUUUUUGGAAGAGUAGUCUGACUACUAUAGCUAAGAAUAAUAAUUCUUUAGAAGAUGUUUCAGAUGUUUUUCUCUUUGGAAAAUUGUUCUCAGCUUUAUCAGCUUCAUUAUCACCCCUGAAAAACCUUCACAGUCAGAGUGAAAGUUAAGGUAAAGCAUCAGGAAAACUCUGAAAUUGUAAUGCAAGAAGUAUGUUCCCAUAUGUCACUGGCUGUCUUACAUCAAUGAAACCAAGUGAAAGAUCAUGUUAAGUUCAAGCAUCAACUAUAUAUUCAAUUUUGAACUUUGCACAUUGAAACAUUAUCACGACACAGUGGCAGAAACCACAGACAGAGCAAUCUUGAUGAGCAUGAUGAAAGGCACAGAGCUGGAACAAUCAAGGUUUAUUGAAGAAAAAAAACCCUUCAAUCAAUACCCAAGCAAAAAGUCUGAGAGAACACUGUAGCUUGAGUUGUUCCCAGAUACUUUAUCUCUGCUUCUUCCUAAUAGUAGCUCUCUUGGAUUUAUCACAACUUUUCAUGUUGUGCAACAUUGUGGGAACAGCUUACAAGUUUUUAAAUAUGCUACAUCCAAUACCGUGUGUGUUAUUCAUUAAAUUAACCAUAAGCUUUAUUGUGCUGGGCUAUAUAAAACACUGGGUGUGUAAAUGUACUGGGUCUGGCAGGGAACAUUCCCUGCAGCAGCCCGUACAGUGCUGUACUCUGCACUUGUAACUAGAACAGCACUGGUAACACACCAAUGCUUUGCCUAUUGCUGAGCAGUGAUGGCACAGCACCAAGACUCCCUCCAAACGCCCCAAAGCCAGUAGGCUGCAGGUGGGCAAGAACUGGGGAGGGCAGCUGACCUAAACUGACCAAGGGAUAUUCCAUAGUGUAUGAUGCCACACUCAGCAAUAAAAGGUAGAAAAGAGGAAGGAAAAGGGGGAGAUCUCAUUACAAAGACGUCUGUCCUCCCAAACAACCAAUAUGCGCAUUGAGACUCUGCUUCCCAGAAUGUGGCUGAAUGUUGCUCAUUGGUGGGAAAUAGAGAAGAUUUUUUUUUUCAUUCCCUCUGUGUUUCCACCUGGCCUUUACUUGAUUCUGUUGUUGUUGUUGUUUGCUUGUUUUCCUUCUUUAUUUUCCCAUUAAUUAAAUUAUCCUUAUCUCA